rnacentral:rRNA from 1 species
GACGAACGCUGGCGGCGUGCUUAACACAUGCAAGUCGAACGAUGAAGCCCUUUCGGGGGUGGAUUAGUGGCGAACGGGUGAGUAACACGUGGGUAACCUGCCCUGUACCCUGGGAUAAGCCUUGGAAACGAGGUCUAAUACCGGAUAUGACCUGCUCUCGCAGUGGGGGUGGGUGGAAAGUUUUGGCGGUGCAGGAUGGACCCGCGGCCUAUCAGCUUGUUGGUGGGGUGAUGGCCUACCAAGGCGACGACGGGUAGCCGGCCUGAGAGGGCGACCGGCCACACUGGGACUGAGACACGGCCCAG